rnacentral:rRNA from 1 species
CCCGGUCUUGUCACACCGCCCGUCACACCAUGGGAGCGGGAUGUACCAGAACGUAGGUAGGCUAACCGCAACGGGGGGCCGCUUACCACGGUGCGUUUCGUGACUGGGGUG